UGCUUUCAAAACAAAAAUACACAAAAUAAGUAAGCCAUUAAAGGCAACCCUAUAUUUCAAAGCAUUCACCAUAAAAAUGGAAAAUUUGACUGCAGAAAGUCUCAUACUCAAAUCCAAGAUCGUCCACUCUCAGAUCCUUUGAAGGGUAUGAAAUCAAUUGGAUAGAUUUAGCUGGAAUUGUACAUUUUACAAUUAAAUUCAAGGUAAUGAUAAUGUCAUUAAUUAAUGUCAUGCUUUUGCCACACUACUUGAAUUAAGAGGUUUUGCCAGUAAAACAAUCAGCUAGUUUGAGAUUCGCAUCCACUUAUCCUGCAAAUCUGGCAUAUCAAUGAUUGACAAUUAUAAAUAGAACGCAUUAGAUAUGGAUUGGCCCAGGAUGGUUUUUUGUAAUGCCAUGAGUUGGCCGCCAGUACAAAAACGUUCACAAUUGACAUUAACCAUGAAAACAAGAGUUAUUAUUGCAAAGCCAAAACUAGCAGAUAAAUAUGAGCAAGUUAAUCAGUGCAAAAGCUAUUAUUGACUCUCAUGCUGACCACUCCUACCUUCUUUCUUGACGCUUCUGCAUCGUUUCUGCCAGAGACUGAUGUGCAUCCCACUUGCUUCUAUCACGAUUUCUUUGAUCUGAGCAAUAAUGAAAAAAGAAAUGAAAAUAAUAAAAAAUAAUUGCCAAUAAAAAAGGACAAAUGGAAUUGCUUUGAACAACUGAAUUGGUCGACUCAAAAUGAGGUCCUGCGUUCCAAUCUGAUUCCUAAACAAGACUGAUUUGCAUUUUAAUUGAUAAAUACAAGUCACUGGAUUAGACAAGUAACAAACUCUCUAUUUCCUCUAUUAAUAACAUUCUUACCCUUCCUGGUCCGGGCAUUAGUGCUAGUUCGCUGUCCUCUGCAUGGCAACAGGCAAACAUGAUUGAAUCCUCUGUAGCACCGAACAUCUACCAAUUUCUGUAUAUCACUUCUAACACAUCGCUUUAGGUCUUCUCCAAUCAAGUACUUAGAGACUUCAUCUCUAAGAGAGUGGAGCUCCAAUCCAGUCAAGUCCUUGGCAAAUUUGUUCCCUAUGCUAAGGUCAUUUAGGAUUUGGUGAGCUCUUUGGCGGCCAAUUCCCUGGAUGUGCUGAAGAGCAAACCUCAAGCGCUUGUCAUUUGGGAUUUCAGCAUUACCAAUGCGAAGGCAUUGGACCCUUUGGCAACGAAACGACAAAUUUUGAAAGAGAGCUCGACUAAUAUUGUCGAGUAAUCCAAAAGAUCCACGCGAACCAAACAUUGCAAUCCCAAGUUAAUACCCAGAGAAUGAAAGAGGAUUGUGAUGCAACAGCUGAACAACGUUGUUGUUUCUAUGCUAAAUCAUCGCUAAUAACGGUCUGUUUGGAGGGUGAGGGAUG
rnacentral:misc_RNA from 1 species